GGUGGGGUUAGACCAGCUGAGUGAGAAGAAGCGCUUUCGCUUGAGGAAAUUUAUUACUGCUGUUGCAGCAGCAAAAGGUGGUGGGAAACGUGUUCAGGUUAAGAGAAGAAAAUAAUAAUGAUGAUGAUCAUGCUUCAUAGGGUGUCUUUUUUCUCGUUGGUUUCUCUGUGGUUUCUUCUGCUUUUCUUUUCUCUUUUCUACAUGGAGGUACUAAGGGUAGGUUCUCUCAAUAUGAAUGGGGGAAGGGACAGGAAUAAGAGGGCUUGGGUAUUAGAAGUAAUAAAACAGAAAAGGCUUAAUGUAGUUUUCCUACAGGAGACACAUAGCGAUGAGGAAAAUGAGGUUUACUGGGUAUGUGGUGGGAGGGGCAGCAUGUACUCAGUCACGGUACUAAUUUCAGUGCUGGGGUGACAAUAUUGUUUUCCUCAGGCUUAGGAGUGACUGUGGUAUCUACAACAGAGAUUUUCAAGGGUCGGGUUUUAUUGGUCAAGGUGGAUGUUUUUUUUUUUUUUUUUUUUUUAAAUGUUUAUGCUCCUAAUGAGGGUACAGAGCGUAUUGCUGUAUUUGAUCAACUAAAGGAAAUGUUAAGACAGUGUGACCAAGAGGGGUGUAUGGUUUUAGGGGUGACUGGAACUGUACAGUGGAUUUUACUGUUGAUCGCACCGCUGAAGAACCUCACCUGCGGUCAGCCACUUGCCUGUCUGGCCUAUUAACUGAGUUUGAGCUUUCUGAUGUGUGGAGAGUAAGGAAUGCCAAAGUUAGGCAGUACACAUGGCUAAAAAUUAAUGAAGGUCGUGUCAGUGCAGCACGGUUAGACAGGUUGUAUGUAUCUGAGCAAUACUGUAGUAGGGUUGGAAAGUGUGCCAUUACUCCUGUGGGUUUCUCUGAUCAUCAUAUGGUUACUGUUGAUAUUCAUUUGUCCUGUCCACGAAGGUCAUCACCUUACUGGUAUUUUAAUGUUAAAUUGUUACAUGAUGUCAUGUUUUGUGACAGGUUUUUGUUGUUUUGGGAAAAAUGGAGGGGUAUAAAAGGGAAUUGUGAGUCCUUGAGACAAUGGUGGGAGGUUGGGAAGGCCCAAAUACGAGUUUUUGUCAACAGUAUACUGCUCUGUCUCAAACUGAAUUUAAAGAGAC
ensembl:lncRNA